AAUGGGUGAGAACUCAAAGCAGAAAAUACCUUGAAGAGAAAAAUUCCUGGGAGAUAGAAACCCCAGCUCAUCUACUUUUUUAUUCCCAGCUCAAGGACAGUACCUGGCACAUAAAAGUCACCAGAAAAUUCUAGUUGAACGAAACCAUUUUACAGUCUGCCUGAGCUAAAGACUCCUGUCUCCUGGUUGUCACAUCCUUCAACUGAGUGAGGACUGGCCCAGAGACUUAUUUCUGACUGUAGAAUGUGGCCAAAGUGAUGUCAUGUCACUUCUGUGAUCCAGUCCCAGAAGGUCAGGUCUUUCAUCUUAUUAGCCAACUCUCUUGUCUUCUUGGCUUGCAUGCUUUGGUGAAGCAAGCUGCACAGUUGAAGAGGCUCAUAUGCAAGGAAUGAAGGGAAACCUCUAACCAACACCCAACAAGCACUGAGGCCAUCAGUCCUGCAGCCCAAGAGACAUCAGUCCUGCCAACAACUCGCUGAGCUUCAAAGUGAAUUCUUCCUCAGCAGAACAUUCAAAUGAGACCUCAGCCCUGCCUCACUCCCUAACUCAGCCUUGGAGAGACUCCAAAGCAGAAGACCCAGGGAAGCUGUGCUCAGACUCCUGACCCACAGAAACUGGAAACUUUCUGAGCCUCCUACAUGUCUCAAUCAGAAGGACCAAAAUGACAGAAAUUGAGCAAUUGCCUGGGAAUAGGACUUGGCUGGAGUGUUGCCUAUGCUGCCCAUCCCCUUUUAUCCUCUUCUAGCCAGGUGGAUUCCUAAACCACUGGACCACCAGGGAAGCCCCAGAAGGUAAGUUAAAGAAAGGAAAUAGUUUUACUGUUUAUGGAGCCAGGGGAACUGGACCUCGCUGCUCAAC